UCAGGUUAGUAUUAGUAUUUUUCUCAGUUUUUGGUUUAAGCUUUCUCUUGAAUCUCUUCAUUUUUCUUUCAAUUUAAUGGAUGAAUUCAUAGAUGUUUUGUCAUACUUGACCUAUUUCUUUGGCAUGAUAUAUUUUUUUUUUCAGACUUUCUAAUACUAUGCUUUCCUUUCUUUUAUCGUCUCAACUGGGUGAUUCAACUUUAGGUAUGUUUUUAUCUUAGUGUUGAUAUGAUAUUGAAAAGUUAAUGUGGUAUUAGUGUUGAUAUUGAAAGUUAAUUGUGGUAGUUAUUUCCUUCUUUUUCUAACUAAUACUUUUAAAUUUUUUACUUUAUUUGAUCAAAAUAACAAGAACAAUGAAUAAAUAGCUAACGACAUAUUAGAAAGGUGGUAGAGUUUCCAAAGGUUAUUAUGUGUAAAAUGCAGUUGUGAUAUUUUGGGGGAAGAUAAAGAUGAAUAAAACAUUAUAUUCUAGGUUGUUUGGACUCUUCAAAAAUAUUAUCGCAAACAUGUCGAAUUCUCCAAAAAUGCACUACUUUUGGAGGAUCCGACACACUCUUGACGACAUUUUUUAAGAAUCUGAUCAACAUAAGUUAUAGUAGUAGUUUCAUUUGCUCUAGGAUUCUUUUUGAAUUUUGAAAAAUGGCUCUCGUGACAAUUUGGAAAAGGGAAUAUAUAAGUACUUGUUUCAAAUUAAUACUUGUGACAUUUUGGAAAAAGGAACAUGUCUGACAUUUUCAAUUUCUAUGUUAUAUUACUUCAACCUUGUGAACUAUUCAAAUUUUGAAUUGGAUGAUCAAUCAAAUAUAUGAAGAUAAGGUCUCAAUUUAUAUGACGUUAAAACAUUAUUAAACAAUACAAUUCUAAAUUAUCUGCUCUGUCAAAUACUGUUAUAUAAAAUGAAGCAAAGAAAGUAAUAAAGUAGGAAUAUUAUAUUAAAAAUCUUCAUCUCCUCAUGCAUAUGAAUUAAUAUCAUAUACACUUGAACUUCUCACAGUUGUUUGAUAAAGGAUUUUCCUUUUCUUGAUGGAAGGUGCAUUUCAGUUUCUCUGAAACAAGUCCAGUGUUUCACAUGUUGCCUCCAUGGAGUCAGAAAAGGCUACUGGCAUGUGCCAAUUGCCUCACAACUUGAAUAUGAAGAGGAAAUUAAAGACGUAGUUGUGCAUUAGGCGUGUCAAUUUACCUAUGGCAAAUCAAGAUUCUGCCAGUGUAAACAUAUGUAAGUGCCUUUUAUAAAAAAUAUAAGUGCCUUUCUAUUCGUUUUCAAUUCUUUUAUUUUGUUGUAUGUGCUAUACUGUGUGAAAGAAUAGUUGGAGACUCUCUAAUCUGCGGAUUAAUUUUUUUUUAUAGAAGAAUAUCAGGCUUAAGGAAUAUGUCCUGUUCCAUUAAA